rnacentral:rRNA from 83 species
UUAAAUUGAAGAGUUUGAUCAUGGCUCAGAUUGAACGCUGGCGGCAGGCCUAACACAUGCAAGUCGAACGGUAACAGGAAGCAGCUUGCUG